UCAGGCUUCUUUUAACAUGUGCCAGGGUAGGAGUGGUCAGGGGCCUGCCAUUGAGCUGUGUAGAGGACAGAGCUUAAACUGGCAUUAUAGUCAGCAGUGGACCUGGAAUUGUUGAAUCCUGAGUUCCUGGGCCUUGUGCGGACAACAGCAGGGUGAUCGCUUUUCAAGAAUUCUUCAUUAACCUGUUGGUACUUCUGCUCUCAUGCAAGGUUCUGAGCAGUCCUGUAGGAGGAUUCACUGGCUAUGAGAUGUGAGUAGGAGGCAAUCAAGUGAAGAGACUAUUGUGAACAGCUCUCUGUGGUUGCAGGUCAAGGGUAUAAUGCUUAAUGGAAAUACUGCAGUGAUUACAUUGCUAUUUUGCAGAUACAACCAUAGACUUUGCAGAGUAUGCAAAUAGCUGAACAGGGCACUAUUUAUUAUUGGGG